CCGGUAAACGGCGGCCGUAACUAUAACGGUCCUAAGGUAGCGAAAUUCCUUGUCGGGUAAGUUCCGACCUGCACGAAUGGCGUAAUGAUGGCCAGGCUGUCUCCACCCGAGACUCAGUGAAAUUGAACUCGCUGUGAAGAUGCAGUGUACCCGCGGCAAGACGGAAAGACCCCGUGAACCUUUACUAUAGCUUGACACUGAACAUUGAGCCUUGAUGUGUAGGAUAGGUGGGAGGCUUUGAAGUGUGGACGCCAGUCUGCAUGGAGCCGGCCUUGAAAUACCACCCUUUAAUGUUUGAUGUUCUAACGUUGGCCCCUGACCGGGGUUGCGGACAGUGUCUGGUGGGUAGUUUGACUGGGGCGGUCUCCUCCUAAAGAGUAACGGAGGAGCACGAAGGUUGGCUAAUCCUGGUCGGACAUCAGGAGGUUAGUGCAAUGGCAUAAGCCAGCUUGACUGCGAGCGUGACGGCGCGAGCAGGUGCGAAAGCAGGUCAUAGUGAUCCGGUGGUUCUGAAUGGAAGGGCCAUCGCUCAACGGAUAAAAGGUACUCCGGGGAUAACAGGCUGAUACCGCCCAAGAGUUCAUAUCGACGGCGGUGUUUGGCACCUCGAUGUCGGCUCAUCACAUCCUGGGGCUGAAGUAGGUCCCAAGGGUAUGGCUGUUCGCCAUUUAAAGUGGUACGCGAGCUGGGUUUAGAACGUCGUGAGACAGUUCGGUCCCUAUCUGCCGUGGGCGCUGGAGAACUGAGGGGGGCUGCUCCUAGUACGAGAGGACCGGAGUGGACGCAUCACUGGUGUUCGGGUUGUCAUGCCAAUGGCACUGCCCGGUAGCUAAAUGCGGAAGAGAUAAGUGCUGAAAGCAUCUAAGCACGAAACUUGCCCCGAGAUGAGUUCUCCCUGACUCCUUGAGAGUCCUGAAGGAACGUUGAAGACGACGACGUUGAUAGGCCGGGUGUGUAAGCGCAGCGAUGCGUUGAGCUAACCGGUACUAAUGAACCGUGAGGCUUAACCUU
rnacentral:rRNA from 1 species